GAUGAACGCUGGCGGCGUGCCUAAUACAUGCAAGUCGAGCGAACAGACGAGGAGCUUGCUCCUUUGACGUUAGCGGCGGACGGGUGAGUAACACGUAGGUAACCUACCUAUAAGACUGGGAUAACUUCGGGAAACCGGAGCUACUACCGGAUAAUAUUUCGAACCGCAUGGUUCGAUAGUGAAAGAUGGCUUUGCUAUCACUUAUAGAUGGACCUGCGCCGUAUUAGCUAGUUGGUAAGGUAACGGCUUACCAAGGCAACGAUACGUAGCCGACCUGAGAGGGUGAUCGGCCACACUGGAACUGAGACACGGUCCAGACUCCUACGGGAGGCAGCAGUAGGGAAUCUUCCGCAAUGGGCGAAAGCCUGACGGAGCAACGCCGCGUGAGUGAUGAAGGUCUUCGGAUCGUAAAACUCUGUUAUUAGGGAAGAACAAACGUGUAAGUAACUGUGCACGUCUUGACGGUACCUAAUCAGAAAGCCACGGCUAACUACGUG
rnacentral:rRNA from 1 species